rnacentral:rRNA from 1 species
CAGCCGUAAACAAUGUGCGUUAGGUGUGUCGGUAACCACGUGUUACUGAUGCGCCGAAGAGAAAUCGUGAAACGCACCACCUGGGAAGUACGGUCGCAAGGCUGAAACUUAAAGGAAUUGGCGGGGGAGCACCACAACCGGUGGAGCCUGCGGUUUAAUUGGAUUCAACGCCGGACAUCUCACCGGAUAAGACAGCUGAAUGAUUGUCAAUCUGAAGGUUUACAUGACUAGCUGAGAGGAGGUGCAUGGCGUCAGUGACU